rnacentral:rRNA from 1 species
AGGGCGCACGGUGGAUGCCUUGGCACUAGGAGCCGAUGAAGGACGGGACUAACACCGAUAUGCCUGGGGGAGCUGUAAGUAAGCUUGGAUCCCAGGAUUUCCGAAUGGGGAAACCCGCUGUUCGUAAUGGAACAGCAUCCUUCGCUGAAUACAUAGGCGUUGGACGGCAGACCCGGGGAACUGAAACAUCUCAUUACCCGGAGGAAGAGAAAGCAAAUGCGAUUUCCCAAGUAGCGGCGAGCGAAACGGAAUCAGCCCAAACCAGAAAGCUUGCUUUCUGGGGUUGUAGGACACUCCUUUGGAGUUACAAAGAGAGAGGAUAGACGAAGCGAUCUGGAAAGAUCCGCCAGAGAGGGUAACAGCCCCGUAAUCGACAUCCUUUCUUCUCCGGAGUGGAUCCUGAGUACGGCGGAACACGAGGAAUUCCGUCGGAAUCCGGGAGGACCAUCUCCCAAGGCUAAAUACUCCCUAGUGACCGAUAGCGAACCAGUACCGUGAGGGAAAGGUGAAAAGCACCCCGGAAGGGGAGUGAAAGAGAUCCUGAAACCGUGUGCCUACAAGUAGUCGGAGCCCAUUGAUGGGUGACGGCGUGCCUUUUGUAGAAUGAACCGGCGAGUUACGACCGUAUGCAAGGUUAAGCUGAUGAGAAGCGGAGCCGCAGCGAAAGCGAGUCUGAAUAGGGCGAAUAUAGUAUGCGGUCGUAGACCCGAAACCGUGUGAUCUACCCAUGUCCAGGGUGAAGGUCAGGUAACACUGACUGGAGGCCCGAACCCACGCAAGUUGAAAAUUGCGGGGAUGAGGUGUGGGUAGGGGUGAAAUGCCAAUCGAACACGGAGAUAGCUGGUUCUCUCCGAAAUAGCUUUAGGGCUAGCCUCAGAAUAGAAAGUCCUGGAGGUAGAGCACUGAUUGGACGAGGGGCCCCUACCGGGUUACCGAAUUCAGUCAAACUCCGAAUGCCAGAGACUUUGUUCUGGGAGUCAGACCAUGGGUGAUAAGGUUCAUGGUCGAGAGGGAAACAGCCCAGACCGCCAGCUAAGGUCCCUAAGUGUGUGUUAAGUGGAAAAGGAUGUGGAGUUGCUUAGACAACCAGGAUGUUGGCUUAGAAGCAGCCACCAUUCAAAGAGUGCGUAAUAGCUCACUGGUCGAGUGACUCCGCGCCGAAAAUAUACCGGGGCUAAACACACCACCGAAGCUGCGGAUUGAUCCGGAUGGAUCAAUGGUAGGAGAGCGUUCUAAGGGCUGUGAAGUCAGACCGUAAGGACUGGUGGAGCGCUUAGAAGUGAGAAUGCCGGUAUGAGUAGCGAAAAAAGAGUGAGAAUCUCUUUCACCGAAAGCCUAAGGUUUCCUGAGGAAGGCUCGUCCUCUCAGGGUUAGUCGGGACCUAAGCCGAGGCCGAAAGGCGUAGGCGAUGGACAACAGGUGGAUAUUCCUGUACCGCCUUCCUUCCAUUUGAGUGAUGGGGGGACGCAGGAGGAUAAGGAGAGCGCACCAUUGGAAGCGUGCGUCCAAGCAGCAAGACGGUCGGAAUAGGAAAAUCCGUCCGGCAACGUCGAGCUGUGAUGGGGAGGGAAAUUGAGUACCGAAGCUCCGGAUUUCACACUGCCAAGAAAAGCCUCUAGCGAGGAAGGAUGGCGCCCGUACCGCAAACCAACACAGGUAGGCGAGGAGAGAAUCCUAAGGUGAGCGGGAGAACUCUCGUUAAGGAACUCGGCAAAAUGACCCCGUAACUUCGGGAGAAGGGGUGCUCCUCUGCCGAGGAGCCG